AGCAGUGCGCAUGCGCCCGUCACAAGGACCCGGAUGGGGAUGGCUAGGCCGCAGGCGUAGCACAGGAAACCAGCUAGAGCGGCCCCAUCACCGCUUCUGGACUCCCCCUGAGAACAUAGAGACCUGGCGGACGAAGAGCUGAGCGACUCCCUAACCCCUUCUGGGUUCUGCGCUAUAUAGCAGAACCAUAGAGAGCUGGUGGAAGAGGAGCUAGAACGGCAAAGAGGCUUUUCAGCUGAGCAGAGGCCUUGAGAAGGAGGGGCUGGAGGGGUUCCUCUCAGCGGGCAUUUCUGUGCCAUGGAGGGGGGAGGAAAAAAGGGUCAAGUGCCAACCAGAGUUCCAUGGCACCAGCUCAAGUUUUAAGAUUAGAAGACAAAGGGGAAUCAUAGAGGCCUGGCUAAAGAAAGUCUAGAGGGGACAAUCAAUCAGGUGGCCAAUGGACUCGUUUGCCACUGCGUGAAGUCUCCACAUGUAGGUCUGCAGGAGAAGUGAAGAAGAUGAACUCCAUCUUGUUUUUCACCAAGUGUCGAAGGCUAUAUCUACCCUACAAUGGCAAUCAAGGCUAUGAGAUCAAUCCACCAGCAGUCAAUUAGCAGGUCUAGUGAAGACCUGCUCGACUGACAGCAGAUCACUCUGCAGUCAACCCCUGUACUCUUACCCUGAACAAUUCUGUGGUAACUGGACCUAAGAAUGAAGAAAAGGCCUUUCUGCUUACUGAAGGAAAGGCACAUGUUCCAAGCAUGCAGCCCCCGUUAAAAAAGAAAAAAAAAUGCAGUCUCUCACUACUUCAUGUUCCAUGGCCAGAGAACAGGAGGUUCUUGAUCCACACUCACAGAUGAGUCUGCAUUUAUGUAUGGAUUUUACUCAUGCUUUUUGUUGUUGUUCUUGCUUAAAACCAAGUUUUUCUUUCUUAAGGUUUGGAUAUAAAGAAGGGAGGGAAUGCAUAGUUAUUACACCAAAUGCAAGUUUAGCCCACUAUCUUGCUACAAAGUGAUAUGCAGCCUGGUUGCCUUUUGAUACCCUCUCCCCACCAGAACCCUAGCUGUCUGCCAGAUAUCACCAUCCCUUGUCACAGUCACCCACUCCCAUCCUCCAUGCUCAGUUCUAGUUCUCGGUGGCUGGGACUCCCAUCCAAGCCAGUAUUGUAAUCCUGACGUGCCUCCAAGAAAAACACAGAUCUGUGUUUAAAAAAUAAAAAUCUUUAACUACUUUUGCUCUUUUUCAGAAGGAACUCAACUAUUAAACAAAUUUACAAUCCCU